UACGUAGGGGGCAAGCGUUACCCGGAAUUACUGGGCGUAAAGCGCACGUAGGCGGCUUUCUAAGUCGGGGGUGAAAUCCUGGAGCUCAACUCCAGAACUGCCUUCGAUACUGGAGAGCUUGAGUCCGGGAGAGGUGAGUGGAACUGCGAGUGUAGAGGUGAAAUUCGUAGAUAUUCGCAAGAACACCAGUGGCGAAGGCGGCUCACUGGCCCGGUACUGACGCUGAGGUGCGAAAGCGUGGGGAGCAAACAGG
rnacentral:rRNA from 1 species